rnacentral:tRNA from 1 species
UAGAUUGAAGCCAGUUGUUUAGGGUAUUUAGCUGUUAACUAAUUUUUCAUGGGUUCUAAUCCCAUCAAUCUAG